GCAGAGAAUAGUGUUGUAUCCUGCAUUGAUUCCUCUGCAGUGUUUGUGCCGUCUCUGCAGUCUAUCUAAUGCGGACUGCAAUUCCCCAGACGCCCAAGCAGAGGAGUCUAGGACAGAGGUAACAGAACAAAAGAUGGGGGGAAUAAAUCAGCUCUCUCCUAUGACUCCACACACUGUCCUUACUAUUAGGGGGUAGUGAAAUCAAUAUUUAAGGGGUUAUUUUGGAGUUAGCUAGGCAUCAGAACACCUUUAUUGCUCCUUGUAUUCAUUAACACGUUGACAGUGC